ACCAGAGCCAUAUCUUCCUGCAGUUCUCGCCUGGCUUCCCACUGAUGCUAAGCAGGGUUGAGUCUGGUCAGUACCUGGAUGGGAGAACUCCUGGGGAAAGCUAAGGUUGCUGCUGGAA
rnacentral:rRNA from 1 species